rnacentral:rRNA from 1 species
UCGAGUGGCGAACGGGUGAGUAACACGUGGGUGAUCUGCCCUGCACUCUGGGAUAAGCCUGGGAAACUGGGUCUAAUACCGGAUAUGACCAACUGUCGCAUGGUGGUUGGUGGAAAGCUUUUGCGGUGUGGGAUGGGCCCGCGGCCUAUCAGCUUGUUGGUGGGGUAAUGGCCUACCAAGGCGACGACGGGUAGCCGACCUGAGAGGGUGAUCGGCCACACUGGGACUGAGACACGGCCCAGACUCCUACGGGAGGCAGCAGUGGGGAAUAUUGCACAAUGGGCGCAAGCCUGAUGCAGCGACGCCGCGUGAGGGAUGACGGCCUUCGGGUUGUAAACCUCUUUCACCAGGGACGAAGCGUGAGUGACGGUACCUGGAGAAGAAGCACCGGCCAACUACGUGCCAGCAGCCGCGGUAAUACGUAGGGUGCGAGCGUUGUCCGGAAUUACUGGGCGUAAAGAGCUCGUAGGCGGUUUGUCGCGUCGUCUGUGAAAUUCUGCAACUCAAUUGCAGGCGUGCAGGCGAUACGGGCAGACUUGAGUACUACAGGGGAGACUGGAAUUCCUGGUGUAGCGGUGAAAUGCGCAGAUAUCAGGAGGAACACCGGUGGCGAAGGCGGGUCUCUGGGUAGUAACUGACGCUGAGGAGCGAAAGCGUGGGUAGCGAACAGGAUUAGAUACCCUGGUAGUCCACGCCGUAAACGGUGGGUAC